UGCCAAUCAGAGUUUCUCUGAUUUUCAAAUCAAAUAUCCAUUGUUGAAGAUGCUGAGCUUGCCAGAAGAGAAAAAAAAAAAAUAGUAUAUCUACGUCGCAGAAUCAUAAUUGGAGGAUAAUGGCCCGAAAGAGACAUCGCAAAGUUCAAUGUUUGCCAUUGAGACGAGGGAGGAGGCACUACUAUCAUAUCACUCCAAAAUGCGAUAUUAUGAAAUGCGAAUACGAAAUCUUAUCUGCCAGACACACACGAGUUUUCGGAUGCUAUUUGAAUCGGCAGCGUACAUACAUAUAUGCAUAGUACUUAUGUAUAUACAUAUAUAUUUUUGAUUCCGUUUCGGUUAGAUUCAUCAGAGGUAGAGCUACUACGUGGCUACCAACCUACCAUGGAUGUCCCCCAUACCAUCUUAUCUGGUGAAAGCCUCAUCAUCAUCCUCCUCCCGUUCAAGAUCAAGCUCGGCAUGGAAAGUUUUCAUAAGUUUUCCUUUCGAGUGCCUUGAAAAAAAAAAAAAAAUAUAUACAAAUUCUAAAGGUUACAACAACCAGUGGCCUGCUCAUGUUAAUUUCAUUCACAAAAGAAGCCCUCGACAAAAGCAUAAUAUCUCACACGGAUAUAUAUCUGUUAUCUCGAUCUGUUCGAUGUAAACAAGUUUUCUCGUUCAUAUGACUGAUUAUUGAUCAUGGGCUUUGUUUCUUUUUGGCUUUUUUUUUGGCUGUCUGGCUGCCUGGCUUAUGCAAUGCUCCACAGACAUUGGUCAUUACUUUUAAUGGCAUUCUCACGAAUACCCACGAUGAUAAAUUCGAUUUUUUUGGGUCAAGAAGUGAUGUCUGGCUAGAUACUUGGCCAUACUCCUCCCCAGUGUCAAGGAUUAGAAACUAAAGGGCCUUCUACAAAGUCUAAUUACUUGUCAAAAAACAGAAACUGCAUGCUUUUUGGUCUCAUGGCCUUAAUGAAGCGAUAACAACGCCGAAGACGCUCUAAUUCGCAGUUGAUAUUAACUAUUUGGUUAGUGUAUUAACGAGGCUGUGCCAGGCACAAAUAUUUGCCCGCCCGUUUGGCACUGAUCGUGCCAAGGAGGAGGAAGACACAUGCGACAUACGAGGCGUAUGAGUAAUAAAGUCAACCUGCCACCUUCUUUUCAUCAUAAGCAGCAACAAAAAUAAUAAAAUUGUUGUGUAAACGAUCGCGAAAACGAUAUCAACAACCCGGAGAUAUAUCAGCUAAAUUAUUAUCAAGUUUU
rnacentral:sRNA from 1 species